rnacentral:rRNA from 1 species
GCAAGUCGAGCGCGAAAUCACUUCGGUGAGAGUAGAGCGGCGGACGGGUGAGUAACGCGUAGGAAUCUACCUAAUAGUGGGGGAUAGCCCAGGGAAACUUGGAUUAAUACCGCAUACGCCCUACGGGGGAAAGCGGGGGAUCUUCGGACCUCGUGCUAUUAGAUGAGCCUGCGUAAGAUUAGCUUGUUGGUGAGGUAAGAGCUCACCAAGGCGACGAUCUUUAGCUGUUCUGAGAGGAUGAUC